GGUGAGGCUUCUCACCUGGUGCAUCCGAUUCAGUGUCAGAGCCAGAGGCGGGAACAGGUUUUGGGUCACCAGAAGGGUAGCCAGGAUGCUGCCAACCAGGAUAAGGCCAAGGCUUCUGGGGGUAUUUGGGAGGUUGAGGCUUUUCAGCUGGUGCAUCCGAUUCAGUGUCAAAGCCAGAGGCGGGAACAGGUUUCAAAGUGGGUUUUGGUCUGCCAUGAUAGAGGUAAUCAGGAUGGUAGUGUGGCCAAG